rnacentral:sRNA from 1 species
CUCUAUAUCCACCUCU